rnacentral:rRNA from 1 species
UGGGGAAUAUUGCACAAUGGACGGAAGUCUGAUGCAGCAACGCCGCGUGCGGGAUGACGGCCUUCGGGUUGUAAACCGCUUUUUCUCAUGACGAAGUUUUUUGACGGUAGUGGGGGAAGAAGCACCGGCUAACUACGUGCCAGCAGCCGCGGUGAUACGUAGGGUGCGAGCGUUGUCCGGAAUUAAUGGACGUAAAGAGCUUGUAGGCGGUUUGUCGCGUCGGUAGUGCAAGCUCAGUGCUUAACGCUGAGCCUGCUGUUGGUACGGGCAGACUAGAGGAAGGUAGGGGAGAAUGGAAUUCCCGGUGGAGCAGUGGAAUGCGCAGAUAUCGGGAGGAACACCGGUGGCGAAGGCGGUUCUCUGGGCCUUUCCUGACGCUGAGAAGCGAAAGCGUGGGGAGCGAACAGG